AUUACCCCACACGGAACCUCACGGGCCCAGAAGGUGACUGCUGGGUGUUCACCCCACCUGCUAGUUUGCUGCAGUGCCCUGGGGUGAAGUCCAGGGGAGUAUCCUGGGAAGACCAGCCCUGCCCCAGUGGAGACCAGGGCUGUGAAGUGGCAAGGAACAGAGGGAGGGUUUGCCCCAGGGCCCCGAGAUGUGUGGGAGCUGGGGCUUGAAUUCAGAUCUGUUUGCUUCCCGGGCCUGGUGUGUUUCAGUGGGUCUGACGCCCGUGUCCCCAGCUCCUCAGGACCCCAGCCUGCCAGAACCCACCCCCUGAGUGCACUGCUUUCCUUGAUGACCUUCAUCUGUGAACUGAAAAAGGAAGCUCACUGUCAAAGGGGAGAAGUGUAUCUGUAGUGGCAAAACAGGAUUAAAAUAAGCCAGUCUGCAAAGCUCCAAGGAACACACUUCACAGCUCCCCUCGCCCCCGUCCCAAGACCAAUCUAUUUAUCUCCCUUCCUCCCUUCCUCCCUUUCUUCGUUUUUCACUGUUUUUUUUUUUUAUUUUUACCAGAGCACUGCUCAGUUCUGGUUUACCGUGGUGCUGGGAAUUGAACCUGGGACCUUGGAGACUCAGGCUUGAAAGAUUUCCCUGCCUGGCCACUGUGCUGUCUCCCUGGCCUUCCCCCCACCCGGGGUGGGGCAUCUCGUUGAGCCUGGAUUUCUGCCCCUCUGCUCUUGCAGCAAAAAGCCCCUGAUACCUUUGCUUGGUGCCUAGCAGUGGCAAAGACGGGUUUUUGUCACUGGCCUCGUGGAACUUAAGAGCCUGACAACAUCGUACUUUAGUAUUUCUCUCCCGCUCUCUCAUUAAACCAAGUCCUUCUCGACCUUUCUCCAUAGCUCUACUGUGCAGUCUCUUUGAUCUGAAUUGAUUUCAGUGUUAGUAGCAGGCCACUUAAUUCAGAGAUAAGAUAAAUCCUCGGCAAUCUUGUCUGUGGCCUGACGUCUGUGUUGGCUGGAAAGGGUCUGCCGGUGUGCAGUGUCAUUUCUGUGUGGUCCUUCCUCUCCAGCUCCUGCCUGCCUGUCCUGUUCAUCAGAGGCGGGUGAGGUGAGGUGGAGGUGGAGGUGUGUGUGUCAACUGGAGUGUAGGCAGGCCUCCUCAGCCGUAUUUGUCGUCCAGCUAGGACGCGCUGGCAGCCCAUGUGCUUUCUCCAGGCGACAGAGACUCUGCACAAGCCCUAGCCGCCCACACCGCGCUCCUUGCGAGCCGGCCCUGGGUGGACUGUUGUCAGCAGCUCUGGCUGUUCGCGCUGCACAUGAGGCCCGUUCACCCAGCUGCGUGCGGAUCCCGCACCUCUGAGAACCUGAGAACCAGUGACGCCCUCGUGUCUGCUGAUUCGGGGACGGGGUAGGACCAGAACAUGGCUCAUCUCUGACUUACAGUGGUACCUGGGAUCAAACCCUCAGCCUCUGGAUUCAGCCUGGAAAUUGGAGCUAAACUUCAGGCUAUGUUUUGACUAUAGAAAUCCUCUCCCCCACCGGCCCUGCUCCUUCCUGUGUCUGGCCGACAGAGACAGAGAGAGAGGGAGAGAGGGAUCUUCCCGAUGCCGGCUGGGAGAUCUCACUGAAAAAUCUCCUGGGAAAACCCACUGCUGAGUUGACACAAGCCCUGUGGUUUUUUUUUUUUUUUUUUUUGAGUCCAGUUCUGUAUUGAAAAAUAAAUAUAGGAAGAUGGGUGGAGGUGUACCAGGCUGAGCACAUGUUACCAUGUUCAAGGAGCCAAGUUCAAACCCCUAGCUGGUCCCCACCUGCAGGGGGAAAGCUUCACACACAGUGAAGCAGUAUUGCAGGUGUGUCCUCCCCACUCCACCCUAUUCUCCUCCACUCUCAACUUCUCUCUGUCCUAGCAAAUAAAAAAAAAUAAAAAGAAUAAAAGUAAGUUGUGGUCUGUAUACACAAUGGAAUACUACUCAGCUGUUAAAAAUGGCAAAUUCACCUUCUUCACCUCAUCUUGGAUGGAGCUUGAAGGAGUCAUGUGAAGUGAAAUAAGCCAGAAAGAGAAGGAUAAAUAUGGGAUGAUCCCACUCAUAGAUAAAAGUUGGAAAAUAAGAUCAGAAGGGAAAACACAAAGCAGAACUUGAACUGGAGCUGGUGUGUUGCACUAAAGUAAAGGACUUGGGGUAAAGAGGAGGUUUAGUUCCGGGAGCAUGAUGGCAGAGGAGGACUUAGUGGGGGUUUAAUUGUUGUGUGGAAAACUAAGAAACGUUACGCAUGUACAAACUACGGUAUUUUACUGUUGACUGUAAGCCAUUCAUCCCCCAAUAAAGAAAAAAAAAUUAAGUAAAAUAAAUAAAAAGACGGUGGUUCCCAGGCUGCAAAUGGAAUGAGGCUGCAGGGCUUGGUGCUGAUGGGUGAACAGAGGAAGGCAGUGGGGUGACGGGAGGGCUCCCAGUGUCCAUCCCUGCUCAUGGUGCCACACAGAGAUGUGCAUCACACCAGCAUGCCUGUCUGCUGUCCUCACUGCCUUGACAGGAGCUGGAAUGGAAGCAGGUCUCUGUACCUACAGUGAUCCACCUCCCACCUGGCUGCCAUCCGGAGGCCCUGGCAAUUAAUUCCCGUUUACAUACAACCACGGCAUUAACACUGCCACUCCCAGGAGUGGGCCAGGCCCUGCUCCUCUAGAAACUGAAUAACAUAUCCAGAACCCUGUUGAAAUGGACUCAGGAAUAUUCAGAAGCAUCCGGACACCACAGAGCAUGGGGGUGUGUUAGCCAGGCAUGGACCCUUCAGACCCUGUUGGAUGGUAUGCUCAGAACAUCUGGUGCUGCAGGAGAAAUAGACACUGUCAGAAAGACAUGUCACUUCUUUUUAAUUGGAUGUCCAGCCUUGAAAUGCCUGGCAUCUGCCAGGGUGGCUUAGUUAGCACUCACAGGCACCCUGGCCAGAGUAACCUGUGGGCUGAGCUGGGACCUAGGCAGGGAACUGGGACUAAAUUAGAAAUCACAGGGGCUGGGCGGUGGCACAGUGGGUUAAGCACAAAUGGCGCGAAGCGCAAGGACCAGUGCAAGGAUCCUGGUCCGAGCCUUUGGCUCCCCACCUGUGGGGGGGAGGGAGGUCACUUCACAGGUGGUGAAGCGGGUCUGCAGGUGUCUA